AAAACGUGCUGACAAAUAUGAGAUCAAAUGACUUAUGUUUCAAAUCAACAGAGGGCAGUAGUGCUCCACUUUGUUGUUGUUGUAUGGCAAGUUUCUUUCUUUCUGUCUUUUUUCCAUUUUGCUAUUGCCCUUAGUAACCCCAGUAAUUAAAUUCAUGGUGAGAGAAAUGUCAUGGCGUCCUGGUGUUUCAAACUUAGGUUCCUGAUCAGUGAAGACUCUCAAAAAUGCCCCCAUGUCAUACCCCUUUAGUGUUUCAAACAUGUCCCUGUCUGUUCAAUUUUUCCUGAAUUUGUCUUCAUUUCUGUUCCCCAUCGGUUUAUAUAGUAACCUCAUUAACAUCACCUGUUUUGCUGUGGAAUUUCACAGGCGGUGCAAUUAGCUGGAAUGCAAACUAAUUCAAUAUCAAAUGAAGCUUGAUUCUAUGUUUAGUUCGCUGACAGUGAUUUACUUAAGGGAGAAUAUAUUUCAUUUAAGUCAUGCAACAAUAGAUACGUUUCUCAUAAUUGAGACAUUAUAAGAAGAGAUUUAACAAUCUAAUCAGUAACACUAAUUCACAGUUUGCAUGAAAGCUUCUCUCUUGGGACACUGUAUUUGAUUGAGAGGAAGGUGAGGCUUCUGCGAACUGCAUGUCUUUCACCGUCAUUUAUCUGGCAGUUUUGCUUAUCGCGGUGACAUCACCAAUCAAUAACUCCUGUUCUGAGAAAAAGUCAACAAAAAGGCUGCUGAUUAAAUCAGCGACGGACUCCUUUCAAGGUCCUGAUGGAAUGAGAAAACACAGGAAGCUGGAUGCACAAUGCCUGUAUAUCCUUUCCUGAACAUUGUGUAAACUUCAUAAGAUUUGGGCUGCGUGGGUCAACAGGAAUAAACAUCAGCGGUCUUGUCCUAAGCUGUCUUAGUUUGCUGCGGGCAGCUGGAAGGAGAGUAAGGCAGGCUGUGCUCCCCUUGGGGAAGGUUCUGGUUCAAGAGAGAUGAUUUUGCGACCACGCUCUGAUCAUUGAGCCAUUGCUUAUAUGCUCCUGGCUGGGAGAGGGCUUCUGAAGGGCAAAUGUAAAGCCCAGUGAGCUGCUGUCAGCCUUGCUGCAGGGGGAGAUGUUGAAGAACGCCAGAGCAGAGGCGUCCCACUCCUCGUCUCAUUGUUCCUGUCACUCCACUCCCGGUAAUUAAUAUCCCCCGUUAAAUACAGACACUGUAAAUCAUAACAUGGCCAUUAUAUCUAUGGGGAGCCGUCAUGCAUCAACUGCAGACUUUGAUUCAUGAGUCUUAGAUCAGUUGACCCAGGUUAAGUACAUAUUUGAUGAGUGUAAAUAGGAGACUACAUCCCUGGAUUUUCACACAAAGCUUUCCAUGACCUUGCACACACUUGGUUGCUGCUAAUGGUAGAAGGUUUGAUAGCACUGAACUCAAUGUCUGUCGAUUUAUUAUUUCUUUCUUUAGAAUUAACUUUCAAAUGAACAAAAAUGAACAUGAAAUAAUACAAGCCCUCCUUUAAAGAUUGCUGUUCUCUCAUUGUUUGGAGGUAAAAUCACAGCAUGCUACAAGCCCACAAGGGCAAAACUCACUGUCACAUGGUAGAAAGAACUCCCAACCUUCAGUCGUGCUGCAAAAUCUGUGAGCACUUAACUAACUAAUAAGCCUAUUUGGACUUUGAAUAGAAACUUGGAUAUAAAAGUACGUAAUAACACAAUCUGCACCAAGAAAUCACAAUUGUCAAUGAACACAAUCUAAUAAAUUCCAGAUGGACAAAAUCAAGUCCUGCCCUAUAUUUUUUCUCGUUUAAGAAGCUGUUUCACUCAAAUAUAAGUCACAUUAAGGAAGAAAAGACGGUCACAACUUCUGUUUCAUGUGACUUUAAGGAAAAUGUUUAGUGGGCAAACAGAUAGCAGUGUAAAUGGGGGUGGGGUGGCAGUAUAGUAUAGCGCAAGGUGCUGCUUGGAAGAAGUCACCCGCUGGAACACAAUUCAUUUCCGAUGAACGUUGGAGGUGGAACGGAGAGUAGGCUCAAUCCCAUUAAACUGCAGCGAAUGAGCAAAAGAAAAGUGGAGUGCGGGAAAACAUGCUGCUUGUGCCAAGAUCCAUCCCUGUGCACGAUGGAUGAGAA